rnacentral:rRNA from 1 species
UACGGGGGGAGCAAGCGUUGUUCGGAUUUACUGGGCGUAAAGGGCGCGUAGGCGGUCAGCACAGGUCAGUUGUGAAAUCUCCGGGCUUAACUCGGAAAGGUCAACUGAUACUGUGCGACUAGAGUGCAGAAGGGGCAACUGGAAUUCUCGGUGUAGCGGUGAAAUGCGUAGAUAUCGAGAGGAACACCUGCGGCGAAGGCGGGUUGCUAGGCUGAUACUGACGCUGAUGCGCGAAAGCCAGGGGAGCGAACGGG